AUUGAACGCUGGCGGCAUGCUUUACACAUGCAAGUCGAAACGGGGUGAGGAGCUUGCUCCUCAUCUAGUGGCGAACGGGUGAGUAAUACAUCGGAACGUACCGUGUAGUGGGGAUAACGUAGCGAGAGUUACGCUAAUACCGCAUACGAUCCACGGAUGAAAGCAGGGGACCUUCGGGCCUUGUGCUAUACGAGCGGCCGAUGUCUGAUUAGCUAGUUGGUGGGGUAAAGGCCCACCAAGGCAACGAUCAGUAGCGGGUCUGAGAGGAUGAUCCGCCACACUGGGACUGAGACACGGCCCAGACUCCUACGGGAGGCAGCAGUGGGGAAUUUUGGACAAUGGGCGCAAGCCUGAUCCAGCCAUGCCGCGUGUCUGAAGAAGGCCUUCGGUUGUAAGGACUUUAGUCUAGGAGCGAAACCCAAGCAGCUAAUAUCUGUUGGGAGUGAGAGUACC
rnacentral:rRNA from 1 species